rnacentral:rRNA from 1 species
GUAGGUGGCGAGCGUUGUCCGGAUUUACUGGGCGUAAAGAGCGCGCAGGCGGUCGUGCAAGUCGCGUGUGAAAGCCCCCGGCUCAACUGGGGAGGGUCACGCGAUACUGCCUCGCUAGAGUACGGGAGAGGAAAGUGGAAUUCCUGGUGUAGAGGUGAAAUUCGUAGAUAUCAGGAGGAACACCGGUGGCGAAGGCGACUUUCUGGCCCGAUACUGACGCUCAGGCGCGAAAGCGUGGGGAGCAAACAGGAUUAGAUACCCUGGUAGUCCACGCUGUAAACGAUGUUCACUAGGUGUUGGGGGUAUUGACCCUCUCAGUGCCGAAGCUAACGCAUUAAGUGAACCGCCUGGGAAGUACGGUCGCAAGACUA